UACGAGUGCCUCAAGCGUUAUCCGGAAUCAUUGGGCGUAAAGGGUGUGUAGGUGGUUAUAUUAGUCUCCUGUUAAAUUUCUCGGCCUAACCGGGAACCUGCGGGGGAAACGGUAUAACUAGAGGGUGCAAGGGGUCUGCGGAACUCAUAGUGUAGCGGUGAAAUGCGUUGAUAUUAUGGGGAACACCAAAAGCGAAGGCAGCAGACUGGGGCACUCCUGACACUGAGACACGAAAGCGUGGGUAGCGAAAGGG
rnacentral:rRNA from 1 species